ACAAUGAAGAGUUUGAUCCUGGCUCAGGAUGAACGCUAGCUACAGGCUUAACACAUGCAAGUCGAGGGGCAGCAUUUUAGUUUGCUUGCAAACUGAAGAUGGCGACCGGCGCACGGGUGAGUAACACGUAUCCAACCUGCCGAUAACUCCGGGAUAGCCUUUCGAAAGAAAGAUUAAUACCGGAUAGCAUACGAAUAUCGCAUGAUAUUUUUAUUAAAGAAUUUCGGUUAUCGAUGGGGAUGCGUUCCAUUAGUUUGUUGGCGGGGUAACGGCCCACCAAGACUACGAUGGAUAGGGGUUCUGAGAGGAAGGUCCCCCACAUUGGAACUGAGACACGGUCCAAACUCCUACGGGAGGCAGCAGUGAGGAAUAUUGGUCAAUGGGCGCGAGCCUGAACCAGCCAAGUAGCGUGAAGGAUGAAGGCUCUAUGGGUCGUAAACUUCUUUUAUAUGGGAAUAAAGUUUUCCACGUGUGGAAUUUUGUAUGUACCAUAUGAAUAAGGAUCGGCUAACUCCGUGCCAGCAGCCGCGGUAAUACGGAGGAUCCGAGCGUUAUCCGGAUUUAUUGGGUUUAAAGGGAGCGUAGGUGGAUUGUUAAGUCAGUUGUGAAAGUUUGCGGCUCAACCGUAAAAUUGCAGUUGAAACUGGCAGUCUUGAGUACAGUAGAGGUGGGCGGAAUUCGUGGUGUAGCGGUGAAAUGCUUAGAUAUCACGAAGAACUCCGAUUGCGAAGGCAGCUCACUAGACUGUCACUGACACUGAUGCUCGAAAGUGUGGGUAUCAAACAGGAUUAGAUACCCUGGUAGUCCACACAGUAAACGAUGAAUACUCGCUGUUUGCGAUAUACAGUAAGCGGCCAAGCGAAAGCAUUAAGUAUUCCACCUGGGGAGUACGCCGGCAACGGUGAAACUCAAAGGAAUUGACGGGGGCCCGCACAAGCGGAGGAACAUGUGGUUUAAUUCGAUGAUACGCGAGGAACCUUACCCGGGCUUAAAUUGCAACAGAAUAUAUUGGAAACAGUAUAGCCGUAAGGCUGUUGUGAAGGUGCUGCAUGGUUGUCGUCAGCUCGUGCCGUGAGGUGUCGGCUUAAGUGCCAUAACGAGCGCAACCCUUAUCUUUAGUUACUAACAGGUCAUGCUGAGGACUCUAGAGAGACUGCCGUCGUAAGAUGUGAGGAAGGUGGGGAUGACGUCAAAUCAGCACGGCCCUUACGUCCGGGGCUACACACGUGUUACAAUGGGGGGUACAGAAGGCGGCUACCUGGUGACAGGAUGCUAAUCCCAAAAACCUCUCUCAGUUCGGAUCGAAGUCUGCAACCCGACUUCGUGAAGCUGGAUUCGCUAGUAAUCGCGCAUCAGCCAUGGCGCGGUGAAUACGUUCCCGGGCCUUGUACACACCGCCCGUCAAGCCAUGAAAGCCGGGGGUACCUGAAGUACGUAACCGCAAGGAGCGUCCUAGGGUAAAACUGGUAAUUGGGGCUAAGUCGUAACAAGGUAGCCGUACCGGAAGGUGCGGCUGGAACACCUCCUUU
rnacentral:rRNA from 1 species